rnacentral:rRNA from 1 species
UGCCAGCCGCCGCGGUAACACGGGGGGCGCAAGCGUUAUUCGGAAUUAUUGGGCGUAAAGCGCACGUAGGCGGAUUUGUAAGUUAGGGGUGAAAUCCCGGGGCUCAACCUCGGAACUGCCUUUGAUACUGCAAGUCUAGAGUCCGAGAGAGGUGAGUGGAAUUCCUAGUGUAGAGGUGAAAUUCGUAGAUAUUAGGAAGAACACCAGUGGCGAAGGCGGCUCACUGGCUCGGUACUGACGCUGAGGUGCGAAAGCGUGGGGAGCAAACAGGAUUAGAUA